rnacentral:rRNA from 1 species
CCUACGGGAGGCAGCAGUGGGGAAUAUUGGACAAUGGGCGCAAGCCUGAUCCAGCCAUGCCGCGUGUGUGAAGAAGGCUUUCGGGUUGUAAAGCACUUUCAGUGGGGAAGAAGGCCUGGGGGCUAAUACCCCCGAGGGAGGACAUCACCCACAGAAGAAGCACCGGCUAACUCCGUGCCAGCAGCCGCGGUAAUACGGAGGGUGCGAGCGUUAAUCGGAAUGACUGGGCGUAAAGCGCGCGUAGGUGGCGUGAUAAGCCGGUUGUGAAAGCCCCGGGCUCAACCUGGGAACGGCAUCUGGAACUGUCAGGCUAGAGUGCAGGAGAGGAAGGUGGAAUUCCCGGUGUAGCGGUGAAAUGCGUAGAGAUCGGGAGGAAUACCAGUGGCGAAGGCGGCCUUCUGGACUGACACUGACACUGAGGUGCGAAAGCGUGGGUAACAAACAGGAUUAGAUACCCUGGUAGUCCACGCCGUAAACGAUGUCGACUAGCCGUUGGGUUCCUCGAGGACUUAGUGGCGCAGUUAACGCGAUAAGUCGACCGCCUGGGGAGUACGGCCGCAAGGUUAAAACUCAAAUGAAUUGACGGGG